UAGUAGUAUUGAGUUUGUCUUGAACAACGUCAUUCACUUGAUGACAAUCUGAUUCCAUAUGUUUAGUUCUCUUACGAAAUAUCAGAUUUGCAGUUAUAUGGUAUUAUUGAACAUUGAGUAGGAUCUUAAGUGGUAUAUAGAAUAUGAGCCUCUCCACUCAUUGCCAAUUGAUUUUGAGUGGAGAUGCUUAUAUCUUAUAUAUAUCACUUAGAUCCUACUCAAGUUUCAAUGUGGGACAAUAUCCCUAAUACUUACAUUUUCAU
rnacentral:sRNA from 1 species